rnacentral:rRNA from 1 species
UUUGUAUAAUGGGUCAGCGACUUAUAUUCAGUGGCAAGGUUAACCAUCUAGGGGAGCCGUAGGGAAACCGAGUCUUAACUGGGCGUUCAGUCUCUGGAUAUAGACCCGAAACCAGGUGAUCUAGCCAUGGGCAGGUUGAAGGUUGAGUAACAUCAACUGGAGGACCGAACCGACUAAUGUUGAAAAAUUAGCGGAUGACUUGUGGCUAGGGGUGAAAGGCCAAUCAAACCUGGAGAUAGCUGGUUCUCCCCGAAAGCUAUUUAGGUAGCGCCUCGGACGAAUACUACUGGGGGUAGAGCACUGUUAAGGCUAGGGGGUCAUCCCGACUUACCAACCCUUUGCAAACUCCGAAUACCAGUAAGUACUAUCCGGGAGACACACGGCGGGUGCUAACGUCCGUCGUGGAGAGGGAAACAACCCAGACCGCCAGCUAAGGUCCCAAAUUACUACUAAGUGGGAAACGAUGUGGGAAGGCUCAGACAGCCAGGAUGUUGGCUUAGAAGCAGCCAUCAUUUAAAGAAAGCGUAAUAGCUCACUGGUCGAGUCGGCCUGCGCGGAAGAUGUAACGGGGCUAAGUAGUAAACCGAAGCUGCGGCAAU